rnacentral:misc_RNA from 1 species
UUUCCGUAGGUGAACCUGCGGAAGGAUCAUUAUUGUAUAACAGGGGUGCGAGUGCUGUCGCUGACCCGAAAGGUCGUGCACGCCCGAGUGCCCUCACACACAUCCACCUCACCCCUAUGUGCACCACCGCGUGGGUCCCCCUUUGGCUUGUUCGGAGGGGGGCUUACGUCUUCACACAAACUUUGUAUGCAGUGUAGAAUGUAUUUUCUGUUUGUGCGAUCACGAAUUAAAUACAACUUUCAACAACGGAUCUCUUGGCUCUC